UUUUAGAAUAUAUUAAUUGGCAAAGACGCAAAUACUCGACGUUUUUGUAAACAUAUAAGUUAUAUAAAGGUGUGUUAUGUUAUGUGACCGACUUAAAGUGUGUGUUAUGUUAUGUGUCCGAGUUAAAGUGGAGCUAUUUUAGUUAAGAUAAUACCGGACAGGGUUUAGGACUCCGUCUUAAUUAUAAUUGGGACAUUUUUACAAACAAACCUUAUAAAAUACAAUACUGGCGUGCAUUUUGAGACAAAACAAUAGCACUCAUAUGUUAACAGAUGUCAGUAUUUUAGUCAGUGAUAAGUCCUGUCCGAGAAAACCGCCCAUGUAGUGUUUAAUUCAAUUACGUGUGAUGUCUGAGGGAAAUUUGGCAAUUUUAGGGUAUAAAAUCUUUCACCGUCAAGCUUUAUUAUAUUAAACAUGUUAUUUAUAUAUGUGUGUGUGUUUAUAUUCCUCUGUUUAUUAAACCAGAGCGGUGAUAAUGUGGAGAGGCAUACCAGACCACCACCAUACGCGAAGUUAUUUUUUCAAACUGAGGAGUUCGGACUCCGCACCGGCAUUUCUGCUUGUUUGUACACUGAGAUAACCAUGGUUAAUAAAUGGUCAGACACGUCACUGGCUUUAAAAUAUAAACCCCAUUGAUGCAAAAAGAUGCUGCGUGAAUGACAAUGUGGUUUGGAACAGACUUUGUGAAGAACAUGGAAACAUCUCUUAAUAAAAUGGCCCCAAACAUCAUCAGGAGUGCAAAAGAAGGAAGUAAAAAACAUCUCUACGCCAAUCUCAUUGGAGAGGAAACCACAGAAGGUGCUUGUUCUUUGUCCAGUGUCUGGUGAGGAAUGCUGCACUUAUGUAAUUGCAAGCAUUAUUUCAAGAAAAUCCCAGCUUCCUUGACUGUGUAAAUAGUGAACCCAAAUGUCCCACACCAACCAUAGUGUUCAACGGCUCUCCUGAUCUUCUCAAAUCUGAAAGUAUCAACUUUAUAAUGGACAAUGUGAACUUAAUAUGUGGAAGACAUUGACAUCACAGGCUGUGGAAUGACUGUGUCACAGUUCGGAGAAGCGGACCGCCCCUGUCACGGAUCACGCUCCUCCUAGUUCCACUUCGAGUAGGUCCCAAAGCACCCCAAUGACCAGACAAACCAGAGAUAAGUAAAAUAUAGAAAUAGAAACUUUAUUUAAAUUAUUUAAAACUAAAGUGGGGAAUGGGAAAGGGAAUCUAAAAAUAUCGCUUCUCGCCCUCAAGGGGAGUAUUACGGGGCCAGGGACGUUGGAGGGGUUUCCUUGUGACUCCAGCUGGAACACCGCUACAGAGCGUAUCUGGGUGGGUUGGGCACACACCGUCGCGGCGGCCCCUGAUGGCAUCCACAAAGGUCCAAGACCCUCCUAAGCUCCUAGCCGUAGCAGAACUACGUAUUUCAGCACCCGAAGGACUAACAACCCAGCCGGCAUCUGCAGCGUAUAUCCAACGUGAUCAAACUUCACUCUGACAAGUAACUUCCUAUACACAACCACGCCGUCCUUUCGCCCGGACCAGCCCCGCACUCUUUCCGCCUGCUACCUAGCGGUCGCCGGAUCAGCAGAGCCUGCGGACUCUUCGGAGGCUGGUCUUCGUUGUGCUGCCCAAGGCGGAAGUUGACUCGCCCGAAAAUCGACCCUUCCAGUAACUUCUACCUUCUCUCUUUAUAUCCUCCUCCAUGGCGUGGCUCGCCCAACCAUCGCUUGCCACGUCACUCACACAGCUGUGCGGGGAUU